rnacentral:lncRNA from 1 species
CAACAUUGAUUCUCACCCUAUUAUACUCCUUUCCAUGAUUUACAGUAAUAGACACUGGUGGUGAACAGAUAUAGAGCCUGGAAUCCAGUGAGGUCACAGGGCCUCUGAGAGCCGGUGAAGCUGCACAGAAUCUGAGGACACAGCUAGGCAUGCUCCAGCUGCCCUGCAUUCUUUACCCCCAUUGUCUUCAGCCCCUCCCCACUCCCCAGCCUGAAGUCAGAGCUCAGGGCCCCUGCACAGACAGUGCUCACCGAGAUGUUAAUUCAGCACAAAGGAAAGAGUGCACUCUUCGGCUUGCCCUGACUGCUGAUGUUUCGGGACUCCCACUGGCCUGCUUGUGGGCAGGCACUGCACUGCUGUCACAGCCCUGGAGCUGGAAGAGUUUAAUCCCCAGCGAGGUAGGAAUGGGGAAAUUGGUCAGGAUCCCCAGCAGGCUCCUUGGAACUCUGUGCACAGGAAAUGAGAAGGGCACUGCAGUGUUUCAGGAAACAAGACUCCAGUGGCCGCAGGCUGGCAGGACACCCAG